rnacentral:rRNA from 1 species
CCCAAGAGAUCGGGAUAACACCUGGAAACAGAUGCUAAUACCGGAUAACAACAGAUGAUGCCUAUCAACUGUUUAAAAGAUGGUUCUGCUAUCACUCUUGGAUGGACCUGCGGUGCAUUAGCUAGUUGGUAGGGUAACGGCCUGCCAAGGCGAUGAUGCAUAGCCGAGUUGAGAGACUGAUCGGCCACAUUGGGACUGAGACACAGCCCAAACUCCUACGGGAGGCAGCAGCA